rnacentral:rRNA from 1 species
GAACGCUGGCGGCAGGCCUAACACAUGCAAGUCGAGCGCGAAAUCACUUCGGUGAGAGUAGAGCGGCGGACGGGUGAGUAACGCGUAAGAAUCUACCUGGUAGUGGGGGACAACUCGGGGAAACUCGAGCUAAUACCGCAUACGCCCUACGGGGGAAAGCGGGGGACCUUCGGGCCUCGCGCUAUCAGAUGAGCUUGCGUUGGAUUAGCUAGUUGGUGGGGUAAAGGCCUACCAAGGCUACGAUCCAUAGCUGGUCUGAGAGGAUGAUCAGCCACAUCGGGACUGAGACACGGCCCGAACUCCUACGGGAGGCAGCAGUGGGGAAUUUUCUGCAAUGGGCGAAAGCCUGACAGAGCAAUACCGCGUGAGGGAUGACAGUCCUAUGGAUUGUAAACCUCUUUUUUCAGGGAGGAAGUUCUGACGUUACCUGAAGAAUAAGCAUCGGCUAACUCCGUGCCAGCAGCCGCGGUAAUACGGAGGGGGUUAGCGUUGUUCGGAAUUACUGGGCGUAAAGCGCGCG